UUCUGGUGAAGUCAGUGAAGUUACCUGUGCAUAAUUCUGGAUUAAUCCACUGAAGGCAGCUAUGGACCACUCAGCGCACACAUGCUCUGUGUUUCUCAUACCCAGAACCUUGCUGUGUUGGAGCACCUAUACUUCUCUGGAUGAAUAUGCUCUAGCUCUUCCACAGACUCCAUCUGCAAAGGCAAAGACCCAGUUGGACUUAUCCAAUGCAAGUGACUUCUGGAUCCUAGGUCAAGCAAAGCCUACAAGCAGGAGGAGGCACUUGCCUUUAAGGAUGGCAUUCCCUGAGGGGUAUGGACAGCACUGAAAUUGCCUGAGCAUCAUUGAUAACAUGUCUGCAGCUCGAGAACAUUUGUAACAGGUUCAUCUUAAAAGCAGAGGGAAGGAGCCUGUUUCCUGAUCGGAUCAGAUUCGUCAGAGAAGUUCUGAGAAGCAUCUGAAAUUUGCACGGACAUCUAAACUGCACGUAGCUCUGGUCUGGCUCUAGAAUAUGUAUCAUUCACAUUUAAAAACUUUUGCUCAGCGUUGGUGGAUUCGUUGGCCAGGCUGCUUGAUGUAUGGCUCUGGAGGACAAGGUACAGUGACAGCCAGUGGAACUGACUGAAUGGCCAAGGGUUUAUGGAAAUUCCAGUGGGAAUCCGUUCACUGUGCAUUCUCCUGCCUUGGACAGCCAACAAGUUGUGAGCGUGCAGCUUCUAAUCAGGGCUGGCAGGGCAGAUGGUUUAUCUUUGGCUGCCUGAGAGUUCCUGCUCUGCAGAGAGAGGCAGACACUCGUUUUGACUCCUUGUUGUGGGCUUUUCAGUUUCCAGUCCAUUACAAGUGACAUAGCCGAUAAAGAGCCUGUCUGUCAGUGGUGUCCCCGGAGGGGUGAAUCUUCAUCCCUUCCUGUACUCAUACCAGGACUGUCUGCUCAUGCUUUUUCGGAUCAUGCUGGGCACCAGGUGAGGAAGAACUCCGCUGGGAGCCGGAUCACAGCAUCCCAGCCCUGCCAAGCCCUCUCCCACACGUCCCUCCUAGCCACUUCAUAGGCAAUGGCAGCUCUAAAACAAACCUCUUCCCAAGUGGGAAUGUCGGUGCUUAAAAUAAAUCACUGCCUAUCAUUUUCUGAGUGGGUCAGAAGAAGACUUGUAAGCCUGUGUUGUGAACAGCUCUGACCCACUGCUUGGGAAAGAAAUGCCACAGCAGACAGCAUUGCUCUGGAUCCAUCACCCAUGAAAGAAAAAAGGAAGCAAAAAUCUGACAGCUGUGGCCAGUCAGGAACUAUUUUGUGCAGUCAUGUAUUGGGCAUAUAUAGUUCCUUUCAUUUACAGAAAGUGCACAUCUAUAAACCAAUCAAGGUCAUACUGCACUUCUCGGUGGGAACUGCUAUUCCCAUUUUGCAGCAGAGAAAGAAAAGGGUAGAUCUGCACAGAAUUUGUCUGCAUUCAACAGGGACCUUGCAGGCUAAUCCAAGGGGAUCUGAGUGGCAAAGUCUGUUCCGCCCGUGACUUGUCCGUGGCCAGCAGGGAUUCUGCAGCAGAGCGGGGAUAGAGUACAGGGCCUUGCAUCCCAAAGCAUUGAUCUGAACAACUAUAACUGAAAUAACACCUCUAGAUUUCAUUGCUGAUGAAUAAGUAUGCUGUUCGCUAGUCUGAGCCUCACCUCUUUUUCUUUCUAAUUUGAGCUGACCUUCUGUACCUUUGCCGGAGUCCAAGUGUUACUUUCCAGUGCCCAUUUAUGAAGAAUAAAGAUAAGACAAACACAUAUAAAUAUACGUGUGUGUGUAUAUUAAGUAUUCUC